rnacentral:tRNA from 1 species
GGCGGGAACAGCCAAGGUGGCGAAGCGGACUGUAAAUCCGCAGCGCGCGAGCGCACGGUGGGUUCGAUUCCCACCCCGCCA